CAGCCGCCGCGGUAAUACCGGCGGCCCGAGUGGCGGCCACUAUUAUUGGGCUUAAAGCGUCCGUAGCCGGGUUGGGAAGUCCUCCGGGAAAUCUGGCCGCUUAACGGUCAGAAUGCCGGAGGAUACUCCCAGCCUAGGGAGCGGGAGAGGCCGAGGGUAUUCCCGGAGUAGGGGUGAAAUCCUAUAAUCCCGGGAGGACCACCUGUGGCGAAGGCGCUCGGCUGGAACGCGUCCGACGGUGAGGGACGAAGGCCAGGGGAGCAAACCGGAUUAGAUACCCGGGUAGUCCUGGCGGUAAACGAUGCGGACUUUGUGUCGGACAAGCUAUGAGCUUGUCCGGUGCCGGAGGGAAACCGUUAAGUCCGCCGCCUGGGGAGUACGGCCGCAAGGCUGAAACUUAAAGGAAUUGGCGGG
rnacentral:rRNA from 1 species